AAUAUUUAAAGAUUCUGAAAGUAGGUAAAUGCAGCGAAUAAAAAGAAAGCAGGAUAAAAAGGUUGAUGAUGUUUUUAACUAGAUGUUCUUUUAUCAUUAAAGGAAAGAUUUCUGGUUUUUGCGGUAUUUACUUAUGCGUAUAGCGGUGGCUUGAUACAAUUAAGUCGUUUUCUGAUGGACGUCCGUUUGAUUUAGUAUUCGCGGUAAUUUAAUGGACGAAGGUAAAGGGGAAUGACGCAUGAAUAAUUUAUUUAGGAAACUGCAAAAAACCUUCGACUACACGCAACUCGUUCGAGAUCAUUUUAUCCAAACGGUUAACAAGCUACGCUAUGAAUGUAAAAUUGCUCUUACUGUUUCAUAUAAUUCGUCAACAAAUUUGCUUUUGCUUGAUUUGCAACGAAGAGAUGAACGGUUUAUCCGUUACGAAAGUUUCGUAGGAGAAAGAUAAACAUUUCUGUGCAACUUUUAGCAAAGGAGGAACAUACCUGGACGUUCAAGGAUUCAGUUCAAGAUUAUAUUGGCAAAGAAGUCCGUAGAAAAGCCAGGAAGUUUAACGUUUGUAAUCUUCGACAAACGUAUAAUUUAAUAUCGCGAUCUUUAAAACGUUAACGAGCUCUUCAGAGAAUUUCUAAGUGACUACGAAUGUACUUUAAUAUUCAAAUAAACGAAGACUAUUACACCGAUAUAAAUACGUUUUGAAACUUAAGGAAACACUAUGUCCAAGUGCAAAAUAGAUUUAAGGCUUUAGCCGGACAGCUAAGGAUACAAAUUCGACCAGAUUCAAAAUUUAGAAUGCGGAAAUUAAAAUUAUUCGUCGAUACGUUCGAAUUUCGAGAUUUUGAACUUCAAAUGAUUUUCGAGAAAAAGAGACGCGGAACUUCUGCGGCCGGAUCUUUGGGGUAGGCACGUGCCGAACGCAUUGUUCCUUUUUUGCCGAACACGAAACAGAAAAGAGCGGCUUUUCUUCGACGUGUAAACGGGACUUUAUGCGCUGGUUAUUCAUGCCAUUCGCGUGUACGUACGAGCUUUCGCACAUUUACGCUACUCAUUCAUACAGGGAAAGAGAUAUAAAUACGCGUGCGCGUUUGCGAACACGUGCGCAUACACCCACGAUGCGUAACGACCGUGUAAAGUCCCCUACUCUUUUCCGAAUCUCCGCCACUCUACGAUUUCCCCACUCCUUCCAUUGCCAUCUCCUCGUCAUCCCCGUUAUUACUCGAAAACCUUUUGUUUAUUUAUGAAAUACAUUUGAAGAUUCAAUUUUGUCCACGUAAGUACAUACUCACCUCGCUUAUAUCCGUCGUUUGUUUGUCUUUUGUUUGUCCGUUUUGCUUUAUACUUUUCACGCCUCUGACUCUUUCCUUCUUUUCUCCUUGUUUCUUAUUUCUUUCUCUGGCUGUUUUAUGUGCUCGAGCGCAAAGCAUACACGUUGCUCCGUCAAUGAAUUCUGAUCGCGCGAAGCCCUGUACCGACGGUCGGUAAAAAGUUCCUCUUGCAGAAGUUUGUAAAGUGAGAACACGUUCACCUAGUUGCAAUUAUGUACUCGGUUUAAUUCUGUUCUUGACACUGUGUGUCGUUUGAUCGCAAACCGUUUUCACAUCCACGACCAGCCGUUGUGGCAAACGUGGUACACGCAUGUUUAUUUGCAUCCGUGAAUAUUAAGAGUGCAUUGCCCGAGUUUCGGCACUCCGAAAACGGAGACUAUUUCGCAAACAGCGAGGACCAAAGUUUCCGACUUAAAAGAAGUUUGGUCAACGAUUAGCUUCUGAUUAAAACAAGAAGAUCGAUAUUGUAACGGAAGAGGUAUUUAAAGCAAACUAGUGUCAAUCAAAGAAACUGUAUUAAAUUACGCUAUGCUAACGCAACGAAUAUAAUUUGCAUAUUACUAGCAAGUACAUGCAAAUCCAAGCAAUUACUCGGCAUCUAUGUUUUACCUGGAAAAGAGUGCGCCACCGUAUACGUAACUGGGAAUAAACGUGGUUAUUAUUAGAAGAAAUUGUAUGCGGAUAUAACUAAUAAUGACGUGUAAUAGUAUUUUCGUCUCAUGGUGGAAACUGAAGGCUUGGAAAUUCGGUAGCCGCAUACAUAAGCGGCAGAAGCACGAUUAAACUUUAAAAUGCAAUUAUCUCAAAAUAACUGUGCUCGGCAGUUAGCAAGUCUGCGCUCAGUAGGGCAACGUAACCCUUAUAAUUGCUCUGAAUUAAUACAUCAAACAGCUAUGUUAUCUAACAUGCACUGUACUAUGGUACGAAUGAUACUAUCUGUAAUUGCAUAUUCUGUUUAGAAUUACGCUUUCAGAAUUGGUUUAUGCACAUCAUCUAAAUAUCUCAAUGUUCGAAAUAUAUUUUUUUCCUCUAUCCUUUUCUAUCGUAUAUUUAUUUAACGCCAUAAAUUUAUUUAAUGAUUUAUUUAAUAGAUAUAUUAUUAAGAAAACCUGUUUGGAAACACUCGUUGGAGUAUUUUGGUCGACCCAACUUUUACCUAAAUUAUAAACACCACAUAGAGAGUUUUCGAAAGCAGCCUUUCAACUCCAAUAGAAUUAUUCUUUCUACUAGCUUUUCUCUUUUCCCGCUUUAUCCUUUGUUACUCUUUCAAAGAAUUUCUUUUAUCCUGCUUGCAAAAUUUGUUAAAUUUUUCCUGAAAAAUACUAACAAUAUUACAUUUUCAUGUGCAAAAGUUAAAAUCGACGUAACUAAAAUUGUUUUGCUUCUUUAUGCCGUGAAUUUUCCAAUCUAUUGUAAAAAUUUCUAGCUAAAUGAUGGGUCGGUUAACAGGUUGAAAACUUUGUUUGUUGAACAAUAUUUCAAGCAUUCGAUGCUCUCGUAAUAUUUCCAUCGUUCAUUAUAAAAAUAAAGCGAAACUAAAGCACAACUUUUAAUGCAAUUAGAAAUUCGCUCUUUUCGCGCGGUCGUGUCGGAAGAAAAAUUGAAGUUGAGUUAAUUAAUAAAGUUGGAGAUUGAAGGCAGAUGCUUGGGAGAAUUCGCAGAAUGCGAAAAAUUUACGACGAAACUAUUCGAUCGCCAAGUUCGUCAAAUUGUCCUGCUGUGAUCGUUUAAAAUAUCAAACGCUGUAUGUUUGUAGGAUCGCGUAAUUAUUGUAAUUUAUUAGAUUUUCGUGAGCAAUGCGACGAGCAAUAUCGUUGGGAAUUCUGUAAACGUCGGGAAACAUUAGGAAGAAAGGAAGGAAGGGAAAAUGUUGGUGAAUCGUGGAUGGUUAUUCUCACCAAAUGCCGUGUUGCGAAAAUCGAGAUGAACGAAACUUCCAUUUCGCUAUUGCUCAUUCCACCUCUUCAGCGACUAUGUCAAGAUGAAAUUCUCGAAAUAGACGGCUUCGCGAUGGAGAGAAACGUACAACGGAGACACUAAAGAACCAAAGAAUCAGAGUGAAAAUGAAAAUUCGGUUAAGACUCUUUUAAUCCGAUCUAAAUCGUUGUUGCACAAUUUUAUUCGAUGUUGCUCAUGUAUUUAACGAGUAGAUCAACGAAUCGCCAAACCGUUCUUCAUGAUUUCCAAUAUUAUUGUUACGGCCCUUUUGUACGAUAGUUCAUCAACUAAUAAUAUUGGUAAAUCGAUUUCACGAUUUUAUAAUAUUUGUCGAACAGGAUAAUCAAAUCAAUACUUUCAUUUCAUGUCUUGUUGUAACGUUUUCUACUAUUGUACGUUGAUGUUUAAUAGAUUUAGAAAUUGUACAGUUUCGCUAGAUAUAUUAGUUAAGAUUGACUAAUUAAUAUUUUAAGAAAUGUUUCAAUAUAGUCAACAAAUCUUUCGUACUUUUCCGAUUAUUAGAAAAUUGUUUAAUCAUAGAAGAGCAUGAUCCGAUUCUAAACUAUUGAAUUAACGUGACAAUUAAAUGGUUAAUGACAUUUGGCGGUUACCUCGAUAGGUUCUCGAAUAUCUUAAAUUUUAAUAAGGAAAGCCAAUUUCAUCGUGGUAAGAAGUUGGAUGCGCAAUGCGAACUGGCUACGUAAUUAAACUCCCUUUUUCCGUGGCUCGAAUGUCCUUUAAUAUGUAAAACGAGUCAAUUAGAAUAUCAAACGUGACCUCAAACGAGAACACGCACUGCUGUACUAAAAUAGCGUGGAUACACCACUUUACCAGCCGCCCCUUUUCCCAAGAAUCGUUUCACCUUCCGCAAUCGUAGCUUCUUUUGCAAUCAUUUUCGGAUCUCCUGCACUCGGGAUCUCCUUCACUCGUGAAACAUCAGCCAAAUUGUUUUCCUUCUCCGCAAUUCUCAAAGUUGUUCGAUAACAACAACAGCGAAUGCAAAUAAAAAUAAAAUAUUCAAAUAAUAAUUUUACAAAUAAAAUUCGAUAAUCUUUUGCUAUAUUUAUGAAUCAAUUUUAACCGUAUUUAAUUAACAUUGUCCAUUUGUUUUCUGUUUCAGGUACUAACUUGUUGUUUAUUUUCUGAUUUGUUUAUGGAUGGCAUAAAGGAGGACUCAUUUAGGUGAGAUGUUUCAUCUACAUAUGAGAAUAAGGAAAAGCUUUUUAGAACGAUCGAGCAAGAUUGCCAAAAGGAUUAACGAUGCUUCAGACGAGCGUUGCAAAAUUGGCAAAUGGUCAUUCGAAUUGUUGUAAUAAACCACAAUACGAUGCCAGCCACAACCGGACGUAAAUCGAACAAGGUCGUUGCGCGCCUAUUGAAUCAGGCUUUAUGCGUUUUGACAUUGAGCUUGCAAUCUGAAAACGAUGUUGUUUUCGUUCUCAGCCUUAUAGCAGAUUUAAUGCACGAGAGAAUGAACGGUGACGAAUGUUUACGCUUCUUCGUGGACACGUUGACGAUAUUUUUCCUCGGCUGCCAACCGGACGUAUAAAUUUAUUAAUCCUAUCAAAUCUGAAAAGAUUAUUUUUUCCAUGCCCCACCGUAGAGCCAUUA